UGCUAUCGGAGUUCGAUUAAGCCAUGCGAGUCGAGAGGUGCAAGACCUCGGCAUACUGCUCAGUAACACGUGGAUAAUCUACCCUGUGGAGGGGGAUAACCCCGGGAAACUGGGGAUAAUACCCCAUAGACUAUGGAUGCUGGAAUGCUCUGUAGCCGAAAGGUCCGCCGCCACAGGAUGAGUCUGCGGCCGAUUAGGUUGUUGUUGGGGUAACGGCCCAACAAGCCUGUAAUCGGUACGGGUUGUGGGAGCAAGAGCCCGGAGAUGGAUUCUGAGACACGAAUCCAGGCCCUACGGGGCGCAGCAGGCGCGAAAACUUUGCAAUGCGGGAAACCGUGACAAGGGAACUCCGAGUGCCCGUAAAUUCGGGCUGUCCGCCAGUUUAAAUAACUGGUGAAGAAAGGGCCGGGCAAGACCGGUGCCAGCCGCCGCGGUAAUACCGGCGGCUCGAGUGGUGGCCACUAUUACUGGGCUUAAAGCGUUCGUAGCUGGCUUGUUAAGUCUCUGGGGAAAUCUUCC
rnacentral:rRNA from 1 species